UUAACGAAAUAAAGCUCUGCUCUCUUCCAGUUUGUGGCGAAGAAAACAAUAUAUUUGGAAAUACAGUGGUUUUGCCUAAACGCCUUUUCAUAGUGGUGAUAAGUUAGAAAUGGGUUAAAAAAAAUGCGGUCAAAUCCCUCUAAAGUCUAAGUGGCUAGCAAAGAAACAUCGGCAAAAUAACAACCAACACCUGAUGCUAAAAGGACGUUAGCCACUAUGACCGAACAGUUAAGCUAGCUAACGUUACCAUCAUUAAGUUGGGGCUAGUGCUAAAUUGGCAACUUUGGUAGAGAGAAACAUACUUCCUUGGACAAGGAAAAAAAGAGACUUGCCGUAGUUUCCAAAGGUGGCAACUAUGGAUGCAAAGUUUGCCUAACCCAAGUAUUCUUAAUAUUGAACACACAAAGAUUGACUAUCAGAAUAAUUGCGCACUUUUACAGUCACAGUAACAUUAACGAUAAGGAGCGCAGAGGUUACCCAGAAGAUGCCGAAGAAGGACAAAAUAACCUGACCUGAGGGAGUGACGUUUCAACUCAAAAUCCCAAAAAAUCAUCAGCUCAACAGUGGCAUAUAGGCUGAUGCACUUAGCAGAGUAGAGGACAAGAUCGAGAAGAAGUAAAUCAGUGACCGGAGAUAAAGAAGACACAGCAACACAGAUGCAUUAUAUCAGUAAUGCACAACAUUCACAGGACCUCAUGAUAAUAGGCUCGUCGGGACACAGAGAAAGGAGCGAGACGCUUGUCAGAGUGGAUACAUCCGUGCCUGACCCGAGGGAGAUGGCUCAGUGCACGACACAUCAGUUACAGGACACCGAGAGACCCUCUCCCCCACCUCCUCGCAGGCUAAUGGUUUUCAAGUUAGUGAGGGCCUGUGCUCUUGUCUGGGCCAGGCCUGUUGUCAUGUGAAAUCCAUUAGAGGUCGCAAGCACACAGGAUGGGCGGUCGAUUGAUAAGGCAGCAGGAGAAGUGAGGCAGAAGCAGGGGAAGAAAUGAGAAGCUUUUUAUCUCCUGACUGUACUGUACUCUCCUUGAGGACUUUGUAAAGCAAACUGAAAUAGAGUGGAAAAUUGAUGGAGAUGUCUUACAUUAUUAUUGUACUUCUGAGCAAUGGCUUGUAAGAUUGUAUUCUGAAAUGGUAAGACAAUUGAAAAUAGUCUCCUAUGUAAUCAGAAACAUGUCAAAAUUGAAGCUCUCUUUCUGUCAACAAAGAUACAAGAAAUAAUGUUGUUUGAGUCUAACAUAAUGUCCUUAAAAAUGGUCAUACAUUUACAUAUUUACAUCCCAAAUCCACCAAUGAAAGUAUUUCAACUAACGCUUACUCACGCAUUGCAAUGAUUGCCAACGGCAACCUAAAUGCUAUUCUCAAACAAAGUUUUCCCUUAAUUUACUGAUAGUCUGUUCAUCAUUUAACUUGUUUACUCUUUUUCCAUUCUUUUUUAAUUCAUAGCCUGUCUUCCAAAAUGUCAAAACUUCUUCCAAAUCUUAUUUCUCAAGACUUGACACUGUUACAAACUGUGGAAGAUGUGUUGGCUUCAGUGACAGCACACUAAGUCAUACUGUGGGUUUCUUGAUUACAUUAAUUCACAGGCAAUUUAGUGGGGAGCCACCGGAUAGUUGAGAACCAAUCCAUAUGCUAUUUAUUUUCUGCCUAUUUUUUCAUUUAUUAUAUUUUAUGCACAAGGAACCCUGUGAACACCCAUUUUUCUGUCGAAUCAGUCAAAGCAGCAGCAUCAUUUUCUCUUAUUUUUUUUUUUUUUUUUUUUUAUACUUCUGAGCACAUUAAGUAGGUUUCUUUGUUUAAAGUGUCAUUAAUAAUCAAUCCUGCAUUCUAUUUUUCAGGCCUGUUUUCCUUCAUAUAUGAAUGAUAAUUAUUAUCUUUCACUGUCACACAAAUGCGCAAGGUGGUACAAUGCCUC